CACUGGAAAGCUAAAAAGGGAUUAGCAUUAGCCUUUUAAGCUAAAGACUGGUGGCCCCCAACCACCUCCAGUGA
rnacentral:tRNA from 1 species